rnacentral:tRNA from 1 species
UGGCUCAGUGGUAGAGCACAUGCCUUGCAUGCCUGAGGCCUUGGGUUCGAUUCCUCA